rnacentral:lncRNA from 1 species
CCAUCAAGCAUCGAGAGCAAUCAGCGAGGAUCACCAAAGAUUUCUCGUGGAAACCCUUCAUCGUGCUCGCCUCGAUUCCUCACCAUAGUAGUCACUCGAGCUCGAGGUAAGCCUCGGCUCCUCUUCCUCCCUUUCACUCUUUCCUUUCUUUGUUUGUGUGCACGACCGUCUGUGGUCGGAUUUGUUGAAUUUCCUUAGAAAAAAAUAUCUCCUAUUUUGGACUGUUUUCGCCCCUCUUUUUCUUUUGUUUUUCGAUGUCGGUGGUCAUCGUCGACCAUUGGUUUGGCUUCUUUUGGAUUACACCAUCGCAGCCUCUGCUGUCACUAGCCACCAGCCGACAGUCAUGGCUCUUAGCCCGAGGAAUAGGAAGGGACCUC